CGCGUAGGCGGCUCUGUAAGUCUGGAGUGAAAGUCCUCUUUUCAAGGGAGGAAUUGCUUUGGAAACUAUAGAGCUUGAGUGCAGGAGAGGUUAUCGGAAUUCUCGGUGUAGCGGUGAAAUGCGUAGAUAUCGGGAGGAACAUCGGUGGCGAAGGCGGGUAACUGGACUGCAACUGACGCUGAGGCGCGAAAGUGUGGGGAGCAAACA
rnacentral:rRNA from 1 species